rnacentral:rRNA from 1 species
AGUGCGUAACAGCUCACUGGUCAAGUGGACAUGCGCCGACAAUUCACGGGGCUAAGCAUAACACCGAAGCGGCGGACUAAUCUAUAUUAGUGGUAGGGGAGCUUUCCCCGCAGCGGAGAAGCCGAGAGGGCGACCCUCGGUGGAGCGCGGGGAAGUGAGAAUGCUGGCAUGAGUAACGAGAGCGGCGCGAGAAACGCCGCCGCCGUAAGCCUAAGGGUUCCUGGGCAAGGCUAAUCCUCCCAGGGUCAGUCGGGAGCUAAGGCGAGGCCGAGAGGCGUAGCCGAUGCGC